rnacentral:misc_RNA from 1 species
GACAAUAACACCUGUAUAACAAAUGGUCGGAGUGCCGCGAUGAAACUGCGCAAAAUACUGAAAAGUAUGUUCAAUAACUAUUGCAAGACGUUCAAAGACGUACCGCCAGGCAAUAUGUUCCGAUAACAAAAAACCUGCUCCGGCAGGUUUUUUUGUGUCC